CUUUAAUUAUUUAGCCGAAAAAUAAUUAUCGUAAGGCUACAGCGCUACAAACUAUCUCUUUACGCAAAUCCCUUCUCCGAAGGCCCAGAACGUGUACACAGCGAAAAGCUUCAGAGACAAACCCUAGAUUUCUUGCAACGCCAAUGGCCAACGAUACUGCUCACCGGAAGCACCGCCGAUCUGCUUCCGAUGAGGACGAUGAUAAAUCUUCCAAGCGUCACAAACACCACCACCAUCGCCGCCACCACCGUCAUCGUCACAGCAGCAAUAAGAACGAAGAAGAAAGCUGCCGUGACCGGGAGGAUAGUGUUCCUCCCGCUGCUAAUCGCAGAUCUCGCCCUGAAGAUGACGUCGAGGAAGGUGAAAUUCUGGAAGAGGACGAGUCUGGUGUUCGCGAGAACGAGGGCGCGACGAAGGAUGUGAAUGUGGAAUUUGGGAAACUUGAAGCUGAUGAUAUUUCUGAUCGAAUUGACCAGCCCCCUAUGGAGUGUCUUUCGGUGGAUGCAUCAUCUAAUAACGAGGCUAAUUUUACUGUGAAGGAGGGGGCAGGAAACAGUGCUCAAGAUCAGAAGACCUCGAAAGUGGACAGUAAGUUCUAUAAUUUAGAUAAGGACAAAGGUGGCUACUAUCUAAAAAAAGGCACAAACAAGGAAAGCACAACUCUCUAUCAAACUGACUCUGGUUGUAAGCAUGGCAAUGAUGCUAGCUUUUCCAUGAGUGAAGUGGCAGGAACUAAAUACAAUCUUGGACAUUGCCGAGAGGGUCAUAGCAAAGGGGAUUUUGAUCACGAAUCUCUGGAGUCAGAUGAGAAGCUGCACAAACGAAUGGCAUCUCCUUCUAAAGGGGCUACUAAGAAAAUAAGCAACAAUGGCAAUGGAAAGGUGGCAACAGAUGGAAACACCUUGGGGAAUGGGAAAAGGCCACAGUUAGAAAGAACUGAAGGCAAGUCCGAGGAUUUUACGCCAUCAACAUCUCACGAUCGAUUCAUCGAUGCAUCAGAUUGUAGGAGUAGAUCGAGGUCAAAUUGUCAUUCUAGGGGACAAUCUCAGUCUCGAGAAACAGUAGAAGAGGAGGCAGAGUCAAAGAGUAGACAUUAUCAUGGUUGGGAUCACCCAAUGUUUGAUGAUAGAAGUAAAAUUCACAAUGACUUGGAAGAUGAUUACACUGAAUGUGUUAGGGGAGAGGGAAGGCAUCGAAGCAGGGACGCAAAGGACAACGGGAGAAGAAAGAUGGAGGUGGAUAGGGAAUGGUCCAAGGAAAAUGAAAUGGAAAAAAACAAAGAUAAAGAUAGGGGGGUUGAUAAGCAAAAGUAUGAUGAGAGAGAGAGAGGUAGGAGUAGGGAUAGACGAAAAGAGAUGGAACGAAAGAGGAGCAGGGAAAGAGAGUUGGAGAGGGAUAGGAGGAGGGAAAAGGAUGUGGAAAGAGAUAGGAGAGGGAAGGAAAGAGGUUGGAGUAGGGAAAGAGAGGUGCAAAGAGAUAGAAGAGUGGAGAGGGAAAGAGGUUGGAGUAGGGAAAGAGAAACAGAAAGGGAUAGAAGAACAGAGAAGGAGAGAGGUUGGAGCAAGGAAAGAGAGGUGGACAGGGAUAGAAGAGCAGAAAAGGAAAGAUGUAGGAGCACCGAUAGAGAGGGUAAUAGGGAUAGAAGAAGAGAAAGGGAAAAAGAUAGGAGCAAGGAUAAAGAAGUGGAUUGGGAUGGGAGAAGGGGGGAUAGGGACAGGGAUCGGAAUGAUGAUAAGGGUGAAUAUAUUGAUAGAAAUAGAGACAGGGAGAGGGUGAGAGAAGUGCAAAAGGAUCGGUUUAGGGAUAAAGAAUUAGAUAGGGAGAGAUACGACGAUAGAAACAAGAAUAGAGCCAGUGACGGUUUAAGUAGUAAAGAUAAGUAUGGGAAUCUUGAACAUGGCCACAUUAAAGGUUCUAAGCAGUCUAGGCAUUACGAUAAUGAAUUUGGUUUGGAUGGGGGAAGAAUUAAUACUGUCGAAAAACAUGGUAGUUUUAAGAGAAGCACUCGUGAAGAAGGUGAAGACAAGCCAAUGAGUGAUCAUGAUGAGGAGGAAGAGGAUGGAGAUGGCAUGCCAUAUCAAUUAGCUGAUGAAGAAGAGGAGGAUCUUAACAGGAUCAAAGAGGAGAGUAGAAGACGGAGACAAGCAAUCCUAGAAAAAUAUAAAUGCCAGCAGUUAGAGAAACAAGUAGAGGCUUCUUUGAAGGAAUCCGAGAAAGAUAAGGAUUCUGGAAAGGAUUCUUCUCAAUCAGAAGCUGCCGCUCAUGCUAUUACAGAAUUGGUUGAUGGGGCAGUGGAUGAUUGUGUUGCUGACUCAUCUUUUGUUGUGGAGAAAUCACCACAUCAAAAUGGAGUAAUUGCAUCUGAUAAAACUGCUGGUACUAAAGGACUUGGAGAGGGUACUCCAAAGGCUGAGGGGUCAGAUGGAUUAUUCUGUGAUGACAUUUUUGGAGAAACACCUGCUGCAGUUCGUAAAAUGGGAAAAAGUGAUGGUUUGCAGAUAGAGAGGAGUGGUCUUCAUGACAAUUGGGAUGAUGCAGAUGGAUAUUAUAACUAUCGAUUUGGUGAAGUGCUUGAUGGUCGGUAUGAAAUUGCUGCUGCUCAUGGCAAAGGUGUCUUUUCAACCGUGGUCCGUGCAAAGGAUCUCAAAGCUGGUCCUGGCGAACCAGAAGAAGUGGCAAUCAAAAUUUUGCGUAGUAAUGAAACCAUGUACAAGGCUGGUCUGGAGGAGUUGGUCAUAUUGAAAAAGCUAGUAGGUGCAGAUCCAGAUGACAAGCGUCACUGUGUUCGUUUUCUUUCAAGUUUCAAAUAUAGGAAUCAUCUUUGUUUAGUUUUUGAAUCUCUUCAUAUGAAUCUCCGUGAGGUCUUGAAGAAAUUUGGGCGCAAUAUUGGCCUUAAGCUAACUGCUGUGAGGGCAUACGCUAAGCAGCUUUUUAUUGCCCUGAAGCAUUUGAGAAAUUGUGGUGUUCUCCACUGUGAUAUAAAGCCAGAUAAUAUGCUGGUUAAUGAGGGGAAAAAUGUGCUGAAGCUUUGUGAUUUUGGUAAUGCAAUGUUUGCUGGUAAAAAUGAAAUCACACCGUACCUUGUUAGCCGGUUUUACCGUGCACCUGAAAUAAUUUUAGGGCUGUCAUAUGAUCAUCCAAUGGAUAUCUGGUCGGUGGGUUGCUGUUUGUACGAGCUCUCUACAGGGAAAGUUCUUUUUCCAGGUCCUUCUAAUAAUGACAUGCUGCGCCUACACAUGGAAUUAAAGGGCCCUUUUCCAAAGAAGAUGCUUCGUAAGGGAGCAUUUACUGACCAACAUUUUGACCAGGACUUGAACUUCCAUGCUUCUGAGGAGGAUCCUGUAACCAAAAAGACCAUAAAGCGAAUAAUAGUCAAUAUAAAGCCUAAAGAUAUUGGGUCAAUUAUUAGGGGAUCUCCUGGUGAAGAUCCAAAGAUGUUAGCCAAUUUUAAGGAUCUUCUAGACAAAAUUUUUGUAUUGGAUCCAGAAAAAAGGAUGACGGUAUCACAAGCAUUGAAUCAUCCAUUCAUCACUGUCUUCUUUAUGAUGACCUAAGCUUCUGGCACAAUUAUGGGAUGAUUGAAUUCAGAAGGGGUCAUAUUGGUCAGGAGUGGCGGGUUCUUUCAGUCAAAUGUACUGUUUCUAUUGAUGUCUGCUUCUGCUCUGAGAGAACCUUCCAGUGCUUAAGUGAUUUAGAGGCACUCAGGAGAAGUCGUUUGUGGAGGCACUUGCACUGGAGAGGUUAACUGCUGUGGCACCCUGUGAAGUAGUAUUUCUGGCGAACUGCAUAUCAUCCCCAUUCUCUUGUAAGUAUCCAUUUCCAUACAACUAUUUCAAGGUUAUAUCCUUUGGUAUAUUUCCUAGAAAGAAUGCAAUGAUGCUAAGUACUACAAAUAUCAAAGAUAAUAGUCCAAUUUUCUUUCUUUUUCCAGGAUAUGGUAAAUGUAAGCAUAAAAAAAUUUCUGAUAAAUGAAAGCAUUCAAUUUCCAGAGCUCUUGAACCAAAAAGCGUUGCAUGAAUAUGACAUAAAUAGAAGAUCUAAUAUGGUAUAAGAAGUCUGACAUACUUAAGGAAGGUUUACCUUUGUCAUUGAAAGGUUAUAAUGAUUUAAAAUUUCAUUUAAAUUUCUUCCGUCGUAUCACAGAGAUGGUCUCUAUCAUUUUGUUAAAAAUAAGAUGUGUAGAAAAUAGUGAAACUAUAUGUAUAACUGUUGAAUAAAUAAACAAAAGGAGUUUAGAAAAUAGUGAAACAAAAGGAGGAGUGUUGGCAAUUAACCCAAAAGCCUUCUCCAAUCCUUCUUGAGGUGAGAUGGAAAGGUACUAGGAUUCUAGGAAUCUUAAGUUCUAGUGUUGCAGUGCCAUUAUUGUUGUUAUUUAUCCAGAAAAUGCUGAUAGGAUCAUUAAUGCCUUUAAUCUUAAGUUCUAGUUGAAGCGCUUAGAAGUUUAGCUUAUUCUUGAGAUGUAGAGUUUGAAUUAUGUUAGUAUCAUUUAGAACUCAGUAGAAAAUAGUGAAUGAAGCUUAUAAAAAAUAUUGAAUGAAAUAUAACUUGGAUAUAAUUAGACUUUUCAAAAUUUAAGUUUGGGAGUUUGAGAAGGGACGGAUUUAAAACUAAGACUUUAGAAGAAAGCCUAUGAGCCAGUUAUUUUUAGAUGAUUCUACAUUUCGGAACAAAAGAGUAUAUCGACAAUCAAAUGACCUUGUGGCUUGUGAGUAUUUUUUGUUUAUGUGUCAAAGCAUUUGGUUGCGAGGGAUUUAUAGUUAUGAACACAGUCAAAGUUCCCUGUUUUGUUGCUGGAGAGUCUUUCUAUUAGGUGCUCACAUUUUUCAUAUAUAAGCUUUGAAAGUUUAAUAUCCAGUUCAUUUCUCUGUUUGGUUCAGUUCUGUACGACUAUAUUCAAGGUCACUUGUGUAGAUCUCAUCUGUAGCUCAUAUGAUAUUGCUUUUCCUUUCACUUGUAUUCUAAAGAGAUGCUGAAUGAACAUCGGCAUAUAUUUCUAUUUUCCAUUACCCUGUUUUGUUUAAUUGUUUCUCCGCAAGUGAAAUCUUGAAAAAACUGGUGGUGGCUUUUUUUUUACACCCCCUCCACUAUUGGUACUUGGAGACAGUUUAGAUACUUCAUGGUUUCAGAAAAAUGCCUAUCUGGAUGUUCAGGCAUCGACAUGGAAUCGACUUGUUGAUGCUCAAACUAUUAUACAUCUGUAACUGCCCAUAUUCUUAUGUCAUUCUGUCAAAUUCUCAUCAAGUUUGUAAAAAGGCAUGCUUAUAAAUUUAAACCUUAUAUGUUCUUCAUGCUUUACAAUAAUACAGGUCUUCCUGUCUUUUGGAUUUAUUAGCAGAAUGAUAUUGUUAUGUUUUUCUGUCACA